rnacentral:rRNA from 1 species
CCUACGGGUGGCAGCAGUGGGGAAUAUUGGACAAUGGGCGAAAGCCUGAUCCAGCCAUGCCGCGUGUGUGAAGAAGGCCUUCGGGUUGUAAAGCACUUUCAGUGGGGAAGAAAGCCUUGGGGCUAAUACCCUCGAGGAAGGACAUCACCCACAGAAGAAGCACCGGCUAACUCCGUGCCAGCAGCCGCGGUAAUACGGAGGGUGCUAGCGUUAAUCGGAAUUACUGGGCGUAAAGCGCGCGUAGGCGGUCUGAUAAGCCGGUUUGUGAAAGCCCCGGGCUCAACCUGGGAACGGCAUCCGGAACUGUCAGGCUAGAGUGCAGGAGAGGAAGGUAGAAUUCCCGGUGUAGCGGUGAAAUGCGUAGAGAUCGGGAGGAAUACCAGUGGCGAAGGCGGCCUUCUGGACUGACACUGACGCUGAGGUGCGAAAGCGUGGGUAGCAAACAGGAUUAGAUACCCUGGUAGUC